GUCGUACGCUUCUUUUUCCACCGGAGCUUGCUCCACCGGAAAAAGAAGAGUGGCGAACGGGUGAGUAACACGUGGGUAACCUGCCCAUCAGAAGGGGAUAACACUUGGAAACAGGUGCUAAUACCGUAUAACAAUCGAAACCGCAUGGUUUUGAUUUGAAAGGCGCUUUCGGGUGUCGCUGAUGGAUGGACCCGCGGUGCAUUAGCUAGUUGGUGAGGUAACGGCUCACCAAGGCCACGAUGCAUAGCCGACCUGAGAGGGUGAUCGGCCACAUUGGGACUGAGACACGGCCCAAACUCCUACGGGAGGCAGCAGUAGGGAAUCUUCGGCAAUGGACGAAAGUCUGACCGAGCAACGCCGCGUGAGUGAAGAAGGUUUUCGGAUCGUAAAACUCUGUUGUUAGAGAAGAACAAGGAUGAGAGUAACUGUUCAUCCCUUGACGGUAUCUAACCAGAAAGCCACGGCUAACUACGUGCCAGCAGCCGCGGUAAUACGUAGGUGGCAAGCGUUGUCCGGAUUUAUUGGGCGUAAAGCGAGCGCAGGCGGUUUCUUAAGUCUGAUGUGAAAGCCCCCGGCUCAACCGGGGAGGGUCAUUGGAAACUGGGAGACUUGAGUGCAGAAGAGGAGAGUGGAAUUCCAUGUGUAGCGGUGAAAUGCGUAGAUAUAUGGAGGAACACCAGUGGCGAAGGCGGCUCUCUGGUCUGUAACUGACGCUGAGGCUCGAAAGCGUGGGGAGCAAACAGGAUUAGAUACCCUGGUAGUCCACGCCGUAAACGAUGAGUGCUAAGUGUUGGAGGGUUUCCGCCCUUCAGUGCUGCAGCUAACGCAUUAAGCACUCCGCCUGGGGAGUACGACCGCAAGGUUGAAACUCAAAGGAAUUGACGGGGGCCCGCACAAGCGGUGGAGCAUGUGGUUUAAUUCGAAGCAACGCGAAGAACCUUACCAGGUCUUGACAUCCUUUGACCACUCUAGAGAUAGAGCUUCCCCUUCGGGGGCAAAGUGAC
rnacentral:rRNA from 1 species